AUUUCUCUGAGAUGUUUGCAAGCGGGCCAGUCCCCUGAGCCGAUAUUUCAUACCACAAGAAUGUGGCGCAAGGGUUCAAGGGUUACAGCCUGCGGCGGCAUCUCGGAGAUUCC
rnacentral:other from 1 species